GCCUCUUUAGCUCAGUGGCAGAGCACUGGUCUUGUAAACCAGGGGCCGUGAGUUCAAUCCUCACAGGAGGCA
rnacentral:tRNA from 1 species